rnacentral:rRNA from 1 species
UACGUAGGGUGCGAGCGUUGUCCGGAAUUAUUGGGGCGUAAAGGGCUCGUAGGCGGUUCGUCACGUCGGGAGUGAAAACUCGGAGCUUAACUCCGAGCCUGCUUCCGAUACGGGCAGACUAGAGGUAGGCAGGGGAGAGCGGAACUCCUGGUGUAGCGGUGGAAUGCGCAGAUAUCAGGAAGAACACCCGUGGCGAAGGCGGCUCUCUGGAACGCAACUGACGCUGAGACGCGAAAGCGUGGGGAGCAAACAGG